AGUGAACGCUGGCGGUAGGCCUAACACAUGCAAGUCGAACGGCAGCACAGUAAGAGCUUGCUCUUAUGGGUGGCGAGUGGCGGACGGGUGAGGAAAAUAUCGGAAUCUACAUUUUCGUGGGGGAUAACGUAGGGAAACUUACGCCAAUGUCGCAUACGACCUACGGGUGAAAGCAGGGGAUCUUCGGACCUUGUGCGAUUGAACGAGCCGAUGUCGGAUUAGUUAGUUGGCGGGGUAAAGGCCCACCAAGGCGACGAUCCGUAGCUGGUCUGAGAGGAUGAUCAGCCACACUGGAACUGGGACACGGUCCAGACUCCUACGGGAGGCAGCAGUGGGGAAUAUUGGACAAUGGGCGCAAGCCUGGUCCAGCCAUACCGCGUGGGUGAAGAAGGCCUUCGGGUUGUAAAGCCCUUUUGUUGGGAAAGAAAAGCAGCAGGUUAAUACCCCGCUGUUCUGACGGUACCCAAAGAAUAAGCACCGGCUAACUUCGUG
rnacentral:rRNA from 1 species